GUGGACUUGUUAGGCCGAAGGGCCUGUUUCCACACUGUAAUCUAAUCUAAUCUAAUCUAAUCUAAUUUAGAAGUCUGGAAAUUGGGCUUUGUGCAAAACAGGUAAAUAAAAUUCUCUAAAUGUGUUUGGUUCUAACUUCUAAUUGGCUUGGAAGAGAAAGUUUUACAAUUACUUAUUAGCUGCUUGUGCUGAAAUUUAAAAAAUUUCAGUUCAUCUUUAAAUUCUUAAGCCUAAAUUAAUUACUGACUCCAUAAUCACCAGAGGUGCCUCCUUCGCCUCACCCAUGCUUCUGACUCUGGACUAUUUUGUACAUUCACUCUUCUUAUUGUUGUCAAAUGAUUUUGGUUGUUUUAGGCCUUUUCUCAUUAACUCGAGUUUUUUGACAAAACCUCUGGCUCCUUUUAAAAAAAAAGUUCCUCUCAUAACCUCAUUUUUCACCCAAGCUUUUGGUCAGCUCUCUCAAUUCUGGCACCAUGCUGCAUAAUUUUGAUAAAUCAACUUUAAAAGGUUUCUGCAUCAGAUAAAUAAGGUUCAGUUCAAUGUUCUGAUGUGAACUGCCAGCAGCUAGGCAUUCAUCUUUCAGCCAAGGUUCAUGAAAUGCUACCACCUUUUCCAUGAACUCAAUCAGAUGCCUUUUGAAAAUUUGUGAAGCUGGUGCUUGCCCAAACUAGUACUUCAUAAUAUUUAAUCCAGCUACUUCAGGAUUUUUUUUUUUGUAUGUUUCUUGUGCUUUCCUGAAUCUAAUCUUUACGAGGAAACAAACCCUUUGCUGCCACUGCUUUGUCUGUCAUUAUGGCUGUAAUAAUGUUAUUCGGUUUUAAUAUUUUUAUUCUUGUUCUAAUAACUCAAGAUUUUUAACUGGAUCUGCUGCUAGAAUAAAACCAAAUUAGCAUUUAUUUGUGGGAUCACCAGAGACCAAUUCAUAAAUGCUCAUCUUCCUGAAAUGAAGCACAUACAGCUUUUUAUUAGUCUUUCUCUGAGCCAUUCGAGAAUAGAACAAAGGUCUCAUUGUCAAAAACAUCGGGAUGGGUAUAUUGAAUAGAAAUGCUUUGGAGGGAUUUAGGUCAGAUUGGAAUGUCUGGUCGGUGUGGACGAGUUGGACUGAAGGCACUCCAUGGCACUUUUUGUUUUGUGAUCUGGAUAGUGAAUAGCACCAGGAUAUUCUACUGUUGAUGAAAUCACUGCUGAACCUGUCAUUACACUAGCAAAUGUCACCAGGAGUAAGAAUUCUGACCUAUUUCUUUUUCUCAAAUCCACUCAUGAUAAUUAUACCAUGAUUGCUGUCCAUGUAGUUGGAAACUGAAAAUGUUAGUAACAUUUCAUUAAUUCAGGUUGGAAAGACAUGAUCUUAAUGUGAUAUAUAGUGCUAAAGGCCCUGCUACUUAAACCAAAAUUAUUUAAUAUUUUUGUCCCUCUUACUCUUGAACUCUUAAAUUUAUACAGGAAUGUCAAGUACCUUAUCUAUGUAGCCAUCUUUAUUCCCUCUCUUCUUUGGUUAGACUGGAGAGAGGCAUCACAACUAAACCUAUGCAUGCCUUCAUCCAGUAUUCACUUUUUAACAAGUGAAUGCUGAGCUGUUUAACCCAUAGUUGUAGAAACACUCUGGAGCACUCCUGCUGCUGUUGCACUGAGACCAACUAACUCCAAAGAGAUUAAGGAUCAAUUCUGGUAAGUUUCAUCCAAGUGGCUUAGAACUACAAUUAGUCAGGUGGAUAUUUAUCCAGCUAUUUUCCGUGUGAAUUAUUAAGUAAAGCUGUAGGACCCCUCUUUGAAUAAUGUGAUGUUACUAUUUUGAAACUGUCAAUAGAAGUUUAAUACUGCCUGUGAAACCUUGACAGGAGACUGGGUUUUUUUGGAUGGUGAAGUUACUUCACACACUCACUGCCAUGGUCUGUCAUUUUUUUAAAAAAAAGAUAUUUUCUCUACCCUAUACUGUCUAGUGAAAGCCCUGAGGUACAAUUCCAUGGAUACUAUAAUGCCCUCUGAACUAUGUCUCCCUUCCCCACAAAAUUCUUAGGAAAUAUUUCAUGAAGAGUAGUAGUUGAAGUUGCAGAGCAUCUUGAUGUAAAUGGGCAUACUGAAAUCAUCGAUGAACAAAGGUUUACAUGGAAUUGACCAUCAAGUUGCGCCUUAGCAGUGAUUUAAAAGAUUGAGACCAAGUUGGAAGAGGCACAGAUUAGUGAGAUUUGUAAAUGCAAGUAUUGGGAUUUAAAAUAAGUACUACUUGACAUUUCAAAAUUCAGACCCCCUUAACCAAGGGAUAUGACCAUCAACUGCAUAGUUCAAAACUAAACCUCUGUUCUGGAUGUUUAAUUUGUCCAUUUUUAUUGUUUUUGUUAACGUUGUAUUAAGUUCUCAUGAUACAUUAACAAGUGGAGCUGAUAGAAAGGACUAAAACACCAAAUCUGUUAACCGCACAAACAACUAAAUUGAUUUUUAAAAACCUUGAGUUGAUUGAGUCUUUUGAAUGUUAGGUACAAACAUGAUUUUAAUGUUUUAUGUGCAUGUGUUCAUCUCUUUGAUGACCCCGGUGAGUUUAGGUAUAUUUACAUUCCCUCCAAUAGCUCAUGCAGUAUCAUGUGUAUGCCAAAUCUCUCUGCAAAUCAUUGCCUUUAUAUCAAUGAAAAAAUGUACCAGCAAUGUGAUAUAAUGCCAUGAGAAUCAGUGUUCUAGAUUCAUAGACCUCAGUUGAACAGCUAAUAAUGCCACAAAGUAGCCUGACCCUUUAAUGGUGAUUUCUCCAAGCAGAAUAGAUCCUCACCUAAGAUCUAUAAAUACUUCUCAGUAAGGUCACGUUACAAUCCUAAAUAGGAGGGCAAAAUUUAAUUUGCAAUUGGCUAGGUACAAGCAACUUAUGUUGAUGAAGUGAGGGUCCCAGGCACUUAGAGAAUAAAGCCACAUAAUUUCAGUUUCAAAUGAGGAAUCAUAAACUACUAUACAAAGUUGGAAUAGUAAUACAGUCUGCAAUGACCAUACAAUUUUUUUCUAAUAUCCCCAGAAUUAAUUUGAGGUAAAUAUGGGUAGCAGGCAUACCAUUGUCGAACAUUCCACAGAACAUCUCAAAUAGCACAUAAGAUCAAGACAGUUACCAUGGAUUUAUAAGAGUUAAAGAGUCAUCCAUUCUCCAAAAACAUCAGAAUUCUGAAGUUUCAAUUUUAAUAAUUGGUAUUGAAACUCUUGAGUCACUCCAUCAUAAAGUGCCUUAAUGACUGCUUACAUUCUGGUAUUUUGCCUCUUCCAGGGUCUAAACUCUCUUGGAUUCUGGGAACUAUACUGCAACUUUUCACAGACUGCAGACAUCAAGCCAGUACUGUCCCUGAAUGUUUGUUUUUUCCCUGAGCUUUAAUUUUGUUCAGUUGCACCAACUGACUUUGAGAACUCUCUUUCUUUCUUGAGUUAAUUGCACAGAAUUAUUCAGUUAUUCUUGGAACUUCUACCUCUGCCUCAACUGCACAAUCCAUAUAGUUCAGUUGCUUUCUCAACAAUCUCAAACAUGGAGACUUUUGUCUCAUGAUGUUGUACUGUGUCCAACUCCAGAAACUUAUAUCCUUUGAACUGUUUUUAGUUACUUGAACAAUUUUGAUCUGUUGAAAGCCUUGUAACAAAUUUCGACCAGCAGGCUUGAAUAUAGUCACCUGGCAAUUGUUGGAACACCUGAUUUCCUGAAUGUUACAAUAUUCAUAAUUGGAAACAAGAACAAGUGGAAUUCAUCACAGACAGCAGAUAACCAUUCGGGAAAGAUCCUCAGUGAUUUCUCCUUUUUUCUCCUGUAGAUGUCGAGGCAGCUUUUAAAGAUGGUUGUGGUUAGCUAAAUCACCAUAGACUAAGUAGUAAAGUUGACAACUUACGUUCUCAGUAUUGCACGUGUUAUUUGAAGUAUUAGUGCAACAUUUCUCAAGUCUGUCCUUUAACUCUACUCAGAUGCUGAGUAUAUGACUCUGUUAAAACAUGCACCCGGAGAUGCAAGAUAGCAUUCUAUGCUUACUCAGCCCAUUUGGUUUGCCUGUACUUUGGGGAUUCGGUUGAUGUCUCACCUGAUAUCACAGCAGAGAUGAGAAAUUCUGGGUUUCAAACUUUUUCUCUUUCAUAAUCCAUUUGAUCACCAUCUUUGAUGUCCUUUCACAAAUCAUAGAAUUAUGCAAUAUAGGCUAUUGAGCCUGUAUCAACUCAAAGGCAAACCAGUUAGUCCAAUGCCACUGCAAACUACUUUUUCAAAUUAAUGUUGAAAUUUCCACCACCAAUUUAGGCAACGCAUUCAGUAAUCAUUUUGCUAUGUCCAGGUUCCCAUUAACUGUCUCCAGUUGACUCCAGUGAAGGCCAUGGACUGUUUACUGUAUUGACCCUUUGUUUUAUUUUUGAUCGUAGGAUGUGGAUGUCUCUGGCUAAACUAGUACUUAUUGACGAUCCGUCAUUGCCAUUGUUCUGGAUUCACGUGUAGUCUAGAAAGGGUAAAGAUGGCAGAUUCCCUUUCUAAAGGCAAUUGGAAGGUUUCAGCAAUACACUGCGGGAUGCUGGAGAGUCAUAGAAACAUUGAUGGAGAAGAAGGGACUCCUGGCAAUGGAAAGAUCUCCAAGUUUUAGUGACAUCACCCUUGAAAUACUGGUCAGAGAGGUGGAAACUGAAGACUGAAUCUCUUCAGAGAACAGCAGAAUGGCUUAGUGCAAAUCGUAGCUUCCAGAAUAUGGUAGCAGAUCCAGCAAGUGUAAUGAGCUCUCUCAGAUGGUCAAGGUUAGUCAAUUCAUCUGCACCUCACAUCUUACGCCUCUUAGAUUGCAGCUAUUCAGUAUGUUAGGUACAUCCUAAUUCCAGUAAUGUAGUCAGAUAAUCUCACCACUCUCUUCCAGGGGAAGGCCACAUGAAAGUAGACACAAGGGACUGCCAGAGGAACAGAAUGCAUCCAUCAUCCUUGAGAAGAUGAUUGUAAGACUAUGGACAUUAGUGCCACCAAGUUAGUACCACCUGAUGCUGCCAAGGUCAUCCAUGGUAGUCAAGAACUGCCUCUGAGGAAGAAGCAACAUUGUUUGAUCCUGCACAUACAGCGUCUAGCUCAGCUAUUGGCACCAUGCGUACCUUGAGGCUAGUAUGGAGUUGAUGUUGGCAUAUGGUCCUUUCAGAGGAUGGCUAAGAAUCAAAAACAUUACGUCUGGAGUUAUAUGUAAGUCAGACCAGUGAUUGCUAAAACUGAGAAGCUUGCUUGGCCAUUUCAAAGGAUAGUCAUCCAUAUUGCUGUGGCUUUGGAGUGACAUGUAGGCAAGAUCAGGAUGUAGCAACUUGGAGAUAGCGAGGACUACUGAUGUUGGAAAGUCAAAGAAUCGAUAAAGAGCAAUAGAAUUAUCAGCCUGAUGCUGUUGGCUGAUCAUAAACUCACAUGAAAUCCAGCAUGGGGUGUUGAGCAAAGCACCCACAUGAACUGAAAUUAUUGAUUGGAGCCUGGUCCAUGAAACUCUAAAUGGGAAAUUGAACAGAACCUGCCUCAGGCACAAACACAAUACAGCAG